AACGAACGCUGGCGGCAUGCCUAACACAUGCAAGUCGAACGAGACCUUCGGGUCUAGUGGCGCACGGGUGCGUAACCCGUGGGAACCUGCCCUUAGGUUCGGAAUAACUCCCCGAAAGGGGUGCUAAUACCGGAUAAUGUCUUCGGACCAAAGAUUUAUCGCCUUUGGAUGGGCCCGCGUUGGAUUAGCUAGUUGGUAGGGUAAAAGCCUACCAAGGCGACGAUCCAUAGCUGGUCUGAGAGGAUGAUCAGCCACACUGGGACUGAGACACGGCCCAGACUCCUACGGGAGGCAGCAGUGGGGAAUAUUGGACAAUGGGCGAAAGCCUGAUCCAGCAAUGCCGCGUGAGUGAUGAAGGCCUUAGGGUUGUAAAGCUCUUUUACCCGGGAUGAUAAUGUCAGUACCGGGAGAAUAAGCUCCGGCUAACUCCGUG
rnacentral:rRNA from 1 species